GAAAGGGAAACUCAUUAGCAACCAAACUCAUUCUGCUCUCUCUCUCUCUCUCUCCCUCCCUCCUCCCUCCCUCUCUCUAGGGUUUUCGCUGUCCCCUUAAUCCCAAUUCCAACUUCAUCUCUACAAUCAAAGAUCCAUUUUUUGGCUGUACACUUUCUUGACUUUACAGUUUUUCAUGGAGGCGGCUCCGGGAGGAGAAGAGACCAACAAAUCUGAUGCCCACUUGACGUCAGCAGCAGCUUUUGUGGAGGGAGGAAUCCAGGAAGCCUGUGAUGAUGCUUGCAGUAUAUGCCUGGAGGCCUUCUGUGACAACGAUCCUUCUACGUUGACCGGUUGCAAGCAUGAAUUUCAUCUUCAGUGCAUUCUUGAGUGGUGUCAGCGAAGCUCCCAAUGCCCUAUGUGCUGGCAACCCAUCAGCUUGAAGGAUCCCACUGGCCAGGAACUGCUAGAGGCAGUAGAACAAGAGAGAAGUAUUAGGUCGAAUCCACCUCGAAAUACCACAAUAUUUCAUCAUCCAACUCUUGGGGAUUUUGAGUUGCAGCAUUUACCUAUGGGUGUAAAUGAUGCUGAACUUGAAGAGCGUAUAAUCCAGCACUUAGCUGCUGCUGCCGCAAUGGGUCGGGCACGCCACAUUGCUAGAAGGGAAGGACAAAGGAAUAGGUCAUCAGCUCAUGGUCGUCCACAAUACCUGGUCUUCUCUACCAAUCCUAAUGCACCUCAGGCUCAUGCUUCUUCUUCCCCUGAUCAGAUGGGAGAAGGUGAACCAUCUCCUUCAAUUGCAGUAACUUUCCCGUCGCCUCCUAUGAAUAGGGAAGAAUCUUCUCAAGCAACCACUCCCGUACAUUCGUCACAAUCUGGUUCUGUUUCUGCAUCAGCAUCUGGAUCUAGUAAUUCGGCUCUGAAUCAACAAGGGUCUUCCAUGAGCAAUAGGAGGUCGCCUAGUCAGUCAUCCCCAAGUACCCAAGAUAGAGCUGGACCAUCAGACUUGCAAUCCUUUUCAGAAUCUCUGAAAUCUCGAUUUAAUGCAGUAUCAACGAGAUACAAAGAGUCAAUUUCAAAGAGCACAAGAGGUUGGAAGGAGAGGUUGUUCUCUCGCAAUGCUUCCAUGGCAGAUCUUGGUUCAGAAGUUAAAAGAGAGGUUAACGCAGGGAUCGCAACUGUAUCACGCAUGAUGGAGCGUCUGGAAACAAAAGACGAUAACACAAUUAAUGAGGCUUCUGUGUCAAAUAGUUUAGACAGUCCGGUUUCUGAAUCAGACAAUCGGCGGAUAUCAGAAAGGGGUGGUGAAAAUUCUGUAAAUGACCAUAAUAGACUGGCUGCCUGUACUGCAGGUUCUAGUUCAAAUUAGGCAUUCUUCAGCAAUUGCAUUAACUCAAAGAAGUUCUUUAUAUAAGUGUGGAAGAAAUAGGCAUGGAUUUCUUUGGGAGUUCAAGAUUUGUGCGAGGGAGGUGAAAGGUGGAAUCGCCCCUUUGAGCUACCAGAGCGCUGUGGAUAUGAUGCUUUGCCAUCGUCAUCGUCUUCCAGUGGAUGGUCUGUUUACGUUUGGAAAGAGCAUUGGUUUGCUGAUUAAGAUCUGAUUCAGAAUAAAGAAACCAUAGAGUAAAUGCUCUACUUUUUAAGCCUGAAUGCCAUUAUCUGCUUGUAAAUUGCUUUAUCCUUAACUUAUUUAUGAAUAUACUUCUGUCGUACAUGUUAGGUGUCUUUGAAUCAUACAUACAUACAUGUAGACAAUUCACUUUUAUAUGGGAUUAUACAGUAAUUUUCUUCGUGUUGUA